GCCCCCCGGGUUGGGGCACCCCGAGGACUCCAGCGCGCACCGAAAGGAUUAUUCGGGGAGAUCCUCGGGGUGCCCGGCCCUGGGGAGCUCAAAGCAAGGUCCCUGCAAUGGAUUCAGGCAUUGCUGAGAGUAGACUGGACUGGGCAGAGAGGGAGCAGUUUGUCCUGUGGAGUUGGGAUGGGUUAGUUCAGGAUGCCUUGGGAGGCAGGGCUGGAGAGGCCCCUCUGUUGGCUGUAGUGGUGGAAGGUUGUAGCAGCAGGGAUGGAGCCUUCGACCUCCUGCUCCCCCCGUGAGCCCCGACGGGACCGUGCCCUUGGCAAUGGAGGGCCCCCCAUUGCUGAGUCAGCGGUUCCGGGGCCAGGAGGGAUGGGAUCAGGAUGCCGAGCUCUGCCCAGGGCCAGGGCUACCAAUGUUCAACCAUGGAGAGAACUGAAAGCAGAGUGAGAUGGAGGCCAAGCUGCAGCACAGGGAUGGGUGAGAAAAGACCCUGGUCCUCAGGUGGAGCUUUGAAUUCCCUGGAAAAAUGGAUCCUGUCAGAUGGUUCAGGCCCUCGUGGGUGCUGGAGCAGAGGCCUCUGUAAUUUAUGGUCACCCUAAAAAGUUGCAAGGACAGCAAGUUCUGACUGCAGGAUGAGGUGGGAAGCAAAGUGAAGUGGUCCAGAGAAAAGCUGAGCUUAAAUUGGUCCUGUGCCAGAGCAGCCUCGUGCAGUGCUUGUUGCUGUCCCUGAGUGUCCCAUUGCAGUGGAUAUUCCCAAGGGUGCCUUGUGCUGGGGAACACUGGGGGCAGUUCCCUUUCCCUGGGCAGGGCAGGCAGGGCACGUUUCCCCCCUCGAGGGUGGCUCCACAGUCCCACCCUGUGCCCUGGGAGCGUGGCAGAACACCUGGACCCACUGUCCUUGUCAGAGAGGGGACAAGGGAUGGUUGGAUGGGUGAGGGAAUGGUUCAGGGAGUACAAGCACCAUUAGAGUGAGUAGUGCAGCACAUGGAAAGGAAGGGGGGGAGUUAAUCCAGACAAAAUUCAAGCACCUGCCCAACCUGUGAUAUUUUUAGGAUCUCAGAGGUGUUGUGGUCCCCCGGAAGUUUUGCCCAGGACUAGGCAGGAGACUUCAGGCUUGGUCACCCCCAGAGCAAGGUGGAAGCCCAGCAGUUUAUUGGUUGGUUUGGCUUUUGGUGACAACAAGGUCCUCCUUUGGGACCAGUCCUUGGCCUGGGCCAUAAAGUCUAAGGGCAGAAGUGUGAGUUUGAGUGGGAAAUGAGCAGCAGGGAGGGUUGGAAACAGCUCGGGGAGCAAUUCAAGAGGCUCCAGACCUGUGGCCAAUACGAGCUGCAGAGGGGGAACUGAAGGUUCCUGCCAGUGCUAAUGAUGCCAAUUGGAGCCUCUGGCAGAAGUAGGGUAGGAAGGAAGUGCCCUUAGGAUUUGGGAAUAGGAAGUUACUGGAAGCCAG